UGAGGUAUAUUGGUCAAUGGACGAGAGUCUGAACCAGCCAAGUAGCGUGCAGGAUGACGGCCCUAUGGGUUGUAAACUGCUUUUGUUUGGGAAUAAUCGACAUUACGUGUAAUGUUUUGCAUGUACCAUUCGAAUAAGGACCGGCUAAUUCCGUGCCAUCAGCCGCGGUAAUACGGAAGGUCCAGGCGUUAUCCGGAUUUAUUGGGUUUAAAGGGAGUGUAGGCGGUUGGUUAAGCGUGUUGUGAAAUGUAGAUGCACAUCAUCAGACUUGCAACGCGAACUGGCUGACUUGAGUACACACAACGUAGGCGGAAUUCAUGGUGUAGCGGUGAAAUGCUUAGAUCUCUUGAAGAACUCCGAUUGCGAAGGCAGCUUACGGGAACGAAACUGACGCUAAAGCUCGAAGAUGCGGGUCUCGAACAGG
rnacentral:rRNA from 1 species